GUGCUCACUUUGGCAGUACGUAUACCAAAAUUGGAAUAAUAAGGAGAUUAGCAUGAUUCCUGUGUAAGAAUGACACACAAAUUCAUGAAGCAUUCCAUGUUUUA